UACAGAGGGUGCAAGCGUUAAUCGGAAUUACUGGGCGUAAAGCGUGCGUAGACGGUUACAUAAGUCGGGUGUGAAAGCCCCGGGCUCAACCUGGGAAUUGCAUUCGAGACUGCGUAGCUAGGGUGCGGAAGAGGGAAGCGGAAUUUACGGUGUAGCAGUGAAAUGCGUAGAUAUCGUAAGGAAGACCAGUGGCGAAGGCGAAUCUCUGGACAGUUACUGACACUGAGGCACGAAGGCCAGGGGAGCAAACGGG
rnacentral:rRNA from 1 species